UACGUAGGGUGCAAGCGUUGUCCGGAAUUAUUGGGCGUAAAGAGCUCGUAGGCGGUCUGUCGCGUCUGCUGUGAAAACUCAGGGCUUAACCCUGAGCUUGCAGUGGGUACGGGCAGACUAGAGUGCGGUAGGGGAGACUGGAAUUCCUGGUGUAGCGGUGAAAUGCGCAGAUAUCAGGAGGAACACCGGUGGCGAAGGCGGGUCUCUGGGCAACAACUGACGCUGGAGGAGCGGAAAGCCGUGG
rnacentral:rRNA from 1 species